rnacentral:ribozyme from 14 species
AGAUUUCCUUCUUCCGUCUCUUAAUUGGAAUAAAUGAGCUAAAAUCAUCAAGGAAAACAAACGAUAGCGCCAGUUCGAAAAAAAGUAAAAAAAGUUUCAAGAA